rnacentral:rRNA from 1 species
CCUACGGGAGGCAGCAGUGAGGAAUAUUGGUCAAUGGGCGCUAGCCUGAACCAGCCAAGUCGCGUGAAGGAUGACUGCCCUAUGGGUUGUAAACUUCUUUUAUCUGGGAAUAAAGUGCAGUAUGUAUACUGCUUUGCGUGUACCUUAAGAAUAAGCAUCGGCUAACUCCGUGCCAGCAGCCGCGGUAAUACGGAGGAUCCGAGCGUUAUCCGGAUUUAUUGGGUUUAAAGGGAGCGUAGGCGGGUUGUUAAGUCAGUUGUGAAAGUGUGGGGCUCAACCGUAAGAUUGCAGUUGAUACUGGCAGCCUUGAGUACAGGAGAGGUAGGCAGAAUUCGUGGUGUAGCGGUGAAAUGCUUAGAUAUCACGAAGAACUCCGAUUGCGAAGGCAGCCUGCUGGACUGUAACUGACGCUGAGGCUCGAAAGUGUGGGUAUCAAACAGGAUUAGAUACCCGGGUAGUC